rnacentral:rRNA from 1 species
AUUGAACGCUGGCGGCAUGCCUUACACAUGCAAGUCGAACGGCAGCACGGGAGCAAUCCUGGUGGCGAGUGGCGAACGGGUGAGUAAUGUAUCGGAACGUGCCCAGUCGUGGGGGAUAACGUAGCGAAAGCUACGCUAAUACCGCAUACGAUCUAUGGAUGAAAGCGGGGGAUCGCAAGACCUCGCGCGAUUGGAGCGGCCGAUAUCAGAUUAGGUAGUUGGUGGGGUAAAGGCUCACCAAGCCGACGAUCUGUAGCUGGUCUGAGAGGACGACCAGCCACACUGGGACUGAGACACGGCCCAGACUCCUACGGGAGGCAGCAGUGGGGAAUUUUGGACAAUGGGCGCAAGCCUGAUCCAGCAAUGCCGCGUGCAGGAUGAAGGCCUUCGGGUUGUAAACCGCUUUUGUACGGAACGAAACGGCGAGCUCUAAUACAGUUUGCUAAUGACGGUACCCACAGAAGAAGCCCCGGCUAACUCCGUGCCAGCAGCCGCGGUAA